AUUGAACGCUGGCGGCAUGCUUUACACAUGCAAGUCGAACGGCAGCGGGGUAGUGCGUGCACUACUGCCGGCUAGUGGCGAACGGGUGAGUAAUAGAUCGGAACGUACCGAGUAAUGGGGGAUAACCAAUCGAAAGAUGUGCUAAUACCGCAUACGUCCUGAGGGAGAAAGCGGGGGAUCGGAAUACCUCGCGUUAUUCGAGCGGCCGAUAACUGAUUGGCGAGUUGGUGGGGUAAAGGCCUACCAAGGCGACGAUCAGUAGCGGGUCCGAGAGGACGAUCCGCCACACUGUCUGUGAGACUCGGCCCAGACUCCUACGGGAGGCCGCAGUGGGGAAUCUUGGACAAUGGGGGCGAGCCUAAUACAGCACUGUCGCGUGUAUGCAGAAGCCGUACGGGUUGUAAAGUAAUUAUGUUAGGGAAGAAAAGGGACGUGCUAAUACCACAUUUUGAUGACGGUACCUAAAGAAUAAGCACCGGCUAACUACGUG
rnacentral:rRNA from 1 species